GAUGAACGCUGGCGGCGUGCCUAAUACAUGCAAGUCGAGCGAACAGACGAGGAGCUUGCUCCUCUGACGUUAGCGGCGGACGGGUGAGUAACACGUGGAUAACCUACCUAUAAGACUGGGAUAACUUCGGGAAACCGGAGCUAAUACCGGAUAAUAUAUUGAACCGCAUGGUUCAAUAGUGAAAGACGGUUUUGCUGUCACUUAUAGAUGGAUCCGCGCCGCAUUAGCUAGUUGGUAAGGUAACGGCUUACCAAGGCAACGAUGCGUAGCCGACCUGAGAGGGUGAUCGGCCACACUGGAACUGAGACACGGUCCAGACUCCUACGGGAGGCAGCAGUAGGGAAUCUUCCGCAAUGGGCGAAAGCUUGACGGAGCAACGCCGCGUGAGUGAUGAAGGUCUUCGGAUCGUAAAACUCUGUUAUUAGGGAAGAACAAAUGUGUAAGUAACUAUGCACGUCUUGACGGUACUUAAUCAGAAAGCCACGGCUAACUACGUG
rnacentral:rRNA from 1 species